rnacentral:rRNA from 1 species
GUCCGGCCACACUGGGACUGAGAUACGGCCCAGACUCCUACGGGAGGCAGCAGUCGAGAAGCUUCGGCAAUGGGCGAAAGCCUGACCGAGCGAUGCCGCGUGAGCGAAGAAGGCCCUAUGGGUUGUAAAGCUCUGUCAGAUUGGGAAGAAAACUUCGGGGUUAAUACCCCCGAAGCUUGACGGUACCAUCAGAGGAAGCACCGGCUAACUCCGUGCCAGCAGCCGCGGUAAUACGGAGGGUGCAAGCGUUGUUCGGAUUCACUGGGUAUAAAGGGUGCGCAGGCGGCCCGAUAAGUCAGAGGUGAAAUAUGUCGGCUCAACCGGCAAACGGCCCCUGAAACUGUCAGGCUUGAGUCCGGGAGAGGUAGGUGGAAUUCCAGGUGUAGCGGUGAAAUGCGUAAAUAUCUGGAGGAACACCGGUGGCGAAGGCGGCCUACUGGCCCGGAACUGACGCUCAGGCACGAAAGCUAGGGGAGCGAACGGGAUUAGAUACCCCGGUAGUCCUAGCCGUAAACGAUGGGCACUAGGUGUUGGAGGAGUCUACCCCUUCAGUGCCGCAGCUAAUGCAUUAAGUGCCCCACCUGGGGAGUACGAUCGCAAGGUUGAAACUCAAAGGAAUUGACGGGGGCCCGCACAAGCGGUGGAGCAUGUGGUUUAAUUCGAUGCAACGCGAAGAACCUUACCUGGGCUUGACAUGCAGGGGACAGGUGUAGAAAUACACCCUUCUUCGGACUCCUGUACAGGUGCUGCAUGGCUGUCGUCAGCUCGUGUCGUGAAAUGUUGGGUUAAGUCCCGCAACGAGCGCAACCCCUGUCUUCAGUUGCCAUCAGGUUAUGCUGGGGACUCUGGAGAGACAGCCGGUGACAGACCGGAGGAAGGUGGGGACGACGUCAAGUCAUCAUGGCCCUUACGCCCAGGGCUACACACGUGCUACAAUGGUCGGUACAAUGGGCAGCGAUACAGUGAUGUGGAGCGAAUCCCAAAAAGCCGGCCUCAGUUCGGAUCGGAGUCUGCAACUCGACUCCGUGAAGUUGGAAUCGCUAGUAAUCGCGUAUCAGAACGACGCGGUGAAUACGUUCCCGGGCCUUGUACACACCGCCCGUCAAGUCAACCGAGUUGGCUGCACCCCAAGUCGCUGAGCUAACCCCUUCGGGGAGUGAGUACAGUGGCGAACGGGUGAGUAACGCGUGGGAAACCUGCCCUUCU